rnacentral:rRNA from 1 species
CCUACGGGAGGCAGCAGUGGGGAAUAUUGCACAAUGGGCGAAAGCCUGAUGCAGCGACGCCGCGUGAGGGAUGACGGCCUUCGGGUUGUAAACCUCUUUCAGCAGGGAAGAAGCGCAAGUGACGGUACCUGCAGAAGAAGCACCGGCUAACUACGUGCCAGCAGCCGCGGUAAUACGUAGGGUGCGAGCGUUGUUCGGAAUUAUUGGGCGUAAAGAGCUCGUAGGCGGUCUGUCGCGUCGGAUGUGAAAGCCCGGGGCUUAACCCCGGGUCUGCAUUCGAUACGGGCAGACUAGAGUGUGGUAGGGGAGAUCGGAAUUCCUGGUGUAGCGGUGAAAUGCGCAGAUAUCAGGAGGAACACCGGUGGCGAAGGCGGAUCUCUGGGCCAUUACUGACGCUGAGGAGCGAAAGCGUGGGGAGCGAACAGGAUUAGAUACCCCGGUAGUCCACGCCGUAAACGUUGGGAACUAGGUGUUGGCGACAUCACGUCGUCGGUGCGCGNGCUACGACAUUACGUUACCCGUCCCGUCGGGAGGUACGGCCGGCGACGGACGUAAACCGUUAAACGUAAGUAAGUAGUAGUUCGUUGUAGAGUUACGUCGACGGACGACCGACCGACGGGAGGAGGAGG